rnacentral:misc_RNA from 1 species
AAAUGCGAUAAUUAAUGUGAAUUGCAGAAUUCAGUGAAUCAUCGAGUCUUUGAACGCACAUUGCGCCCCCUGGUAUUCCGGGGGGCAUGCCUGUCCGAGCGUCAUUGCUACCCUCAAGCACGGCUUGUGUGUUGGGCUUCCGUCCCUGGCAACGGGGACGGGCCCAAAAGGCAGUGGCGGCACCAUGUCUGGUCCUCGAGCGUAUGGGGCUUUGUCACCCGCUCCCGUAGGUCCAGCUGGCAGCUAGCCUCGCAACCAAUCUUUUUAACCAGGUUGACCUCGGAUCAGGUAGGGAUACCCGCUGAACUUAAGC